rnacentral:lncRNA from 1 species
CAGGAAAACACCAUUGUAUUAAUUAUGUGAGCAAAGUAGGAAAGGCAACUGACACAUCUUUUCCUAAAGUUCCCUUCAGUUGUUUCACAUACCUCUGUAUUGUUCUUCCAGACUCAAGAACAUUGGCUGGUGGCUCAGCAUACACAAAACAAGAAAGAGAAAAAUCACAGAUAGAGCACAGCAUGUUACUCUGUAAGAGCCAUCUUGAAUUGCUGCACAGCCACCCUCCCGCUCCCACACACAGACAACAACCUGGGCAGCUCCUUACUUUUAAAGGGGCGGGUGCUCAGGAGAAGACCUACUGGACCCUUUAAUAGAUGGCCUCCCAAGUACAAGGAGGGUCUCAAGGCCCAUCACCAGCUUUGGCCAUUUGCAUCCUUUUCAUCAGAAGGACAGAAUUUGGGGGACAGUUUAAAAAAUGUGAGUAGGUUCUUAUCACCCCACAUUCCUUCUCUCUGAGACUAGAGUGUUCAUUUUAUGUUUGAUCAGUGGAGUAUUGAAAUAUCACAUCUUUGCCAUUGAAAUUCUCUUCAUGAUGGAGAGGAUGUGACUGUGUAUAAGUUUCCUGUAAUUUCACUCUCUCUCUCUUGGGUGAUUGUUAUUCCAAGCUCCAUCUCCCAUUUACUUUUGAUUAUUUCUGUCUCCUUUUCAUCUCCUCCCAAUAUGACUUCUUAAGUGUCUGCAAAACUGGCAUUAGGAUAGUGAAACAGACACUUCGAGACAGGUUUGGGUAAAGCAAAGAAAGCCUCAGGCUUUGGGGUUUAUUUGUGGUUAAAAUAAAUGGCACCACAUUCUGAAGUCA